UUUCCGUAGGUGAACCUGCGGAAGGAUCAUUAAAGAAUUUGCCCCGUCCUCUCGAGGAUGGGUCCUCUUCUAAACCGUGUAUACAUACCUUUGUUGCUUUGGCGGGCCGCCGUCUCGGCGUUGGCUUCGGCUGACUGUGCCCGCCAGAGAACCCCAACUCUUCUGUUUAGUAUUGUCUGAGUACUACAUAAUAGUUAAAACUUUCAACAACGGAUCUCUUGGCUCUC
rnacentral:misc_RNA from 1 species